rnacentral:lncRNA from 1 species
CCUUUCGCGUCAUAUUAUACAAAAACGACCACGGUGAAAAGAUUUCCGGUUUUCCGUAUUCGAGGAUCCAAGCUUUCGUACAUUUACGUAUAAUAUCAUAUCAUUUAUGUAAGAGUUAACUUAGUCUGGAAUCGAGAAUGGGGAAUUAAAUAAGGACAAAAAAAAAAAAAAAGUUAGUUAAAAAGCAAAAAUAUAGAAUAAAGGAUCAUUAUUCUCAGAGCAUAUAUAUGUCUCUGGAAGAAUCAUGAGAAUAAAGAAAAACUAAAUAAAGGAUAUUCAAUCAAUUAUCUAUUAUUUAUAACUCAUUCACAUUUUGUUCCAUUCAUAAUUAAAUAAUUGUGCUGAGGGGGGCAUGAUGGUGAAGUUUGGAAAAUUGACAAACGAGAAUUACUCUAAAUCAGAGAAUAAUUAAAUGUAACUGUUAGACAGUUAGAGUGUAAUAAAUAAAAUAUCAUGUACAUAUAUUUUACAAAAUGAGG